UGUCCGAACAGGCUAGCACAAGACGGUCUGCUAAAGACCAUACUUUCACUCUGCCAGGUGGCGUCAAUAGUGCACUGCACGUGAAUCUGGAUUAAUGACGCUUAUAGAAGGUAAAUAGAUUUUCUGGGACAAUAAAUAGGGCAAGUCUGUAGUGAAGUGUGGUCAGCAGAAUGAUAAGGUGAUAAGAUCUUCAGUGAAGUUGUAUCAGAAAUUCUUCAGUGUUUAAAUUAUGAAAUUAUAUAGAUGCUAUUAAUUUUAAAAUAAAACUGGUUAAUUAUAAUAACAAUGUAAGGAUUUAUAUACUCGAUAAAUGGAAUUAGUCUCAUAUGAGAGCAGAGAAUACAUACACGAAAUACAAAGAGAGUAAAUUGUGAAGUGCCAUUUUUUAAAUGUUUUGGUUAAAUAUAUCAGCGAGAGCCAUUUUAAUACUUUCCAUUCUGCACUACCGCAUCUUUUCGUUUGUGAACUUUAUAAAAUAAAGCAGAAGAAGCAACUGAGUGAGGUAACAGUAUGGUGGCACUAGACACAUCUACUAGACCUGAUUUCAACUUCAUAGCAACGCCAACAUCACUAGACUGGAUCGGAGAGAAAAUUCAAAUGCAUUGCCAACUACAUACAUCAUUUCAUCUUGCGAUGGACAUGACUUAUGGAAAACCCUGGAGGUACCACAUUCACUGGUGUACAAGGCCCACGUGUAAAGUAGGACAGCACACAGACACGUGGAGUUUCCCCGAAGACGUGAGGUGACUGAGGAAGAAAUUGGGAUUUGAUUUCUGUUGCAGUUGGCAUUCGCGUUCUACAGUUGUAGAAACUUUGAAACACCUCAUCGAAUUACCGAACGUAAAACAAUGGAAGAUAUCGUAGCAGAAUUGCACAAUGCCUGGCUUGAGUUCAUGGUAUGCUCUUUAUGCAAGAAGUACAUACUUCCUCCAGUUAUCGAAAUAUGCACCAACGGUCACAAUGGAUGUGAGACAUGCGUCACGCAGUUAACAGUAUGCCCGAUUUGUAAACUUCCGGCUGACAAAUACCAGAACACAGGAAUUGAAGAAGCGUGUAGGAGCGCGAAUAUCAGGGUCCCCUGUAACAAUCGAUCCUGGGGCUGCAGCGAAAGAUCUCUCAUCGACGAUAUGAGAAAUCACUCGAUAGUCUGCGUGCACCAGCAAAUCCCGUGUCCAUUUGCUUCUUCUGACUCUCCUUGUUCGUGGUGUGGCCCCAUAAGCGGUCUGCAACGACACAUGAUAGAAAAACAUCACGACUGUAGGGUCGUUAUUACACAAGAAGAACCUAUACAUUUGUCUUAUUCUUGUGAAACUCAGAAAUUGGUUGUAAUAAGAGGUAUUGAAAUAUUUCUUAUCUUAACCCUUUUGAGGGAACCCUGUGUUUCGAAAUACUACUGCACCACUGUGAAAUAUGUUGGACCAAAACAUAACGCCGAUAAGUACAUAUACGAAGUUAAUAUAGCUGGUGGAUAUAAACACGAAAUACAAGACGAUAUUAGGGAUCCGGAAAUGGUAACUGAGUCUGGAGGUCAUAUCCACGUGUUCAAUACAACUAGUAACGUAACAGUUCCCGUUCGAGAAUGCAAAUAUUAUAUAACAAUUAGUAGACAUUCCCAAUCGUCUGUAUCAGACGAUGAUUCCGACUCAGAAAAUGCCUCAGAUUAUGAAUCGUCAUAAUUUGGCCACGAUGUCUAUGCUGUAAGUACAAAGACGUAAAAGCACGUGGACAGCUCAUAGGCCAGACGAUUGCAGCCAAGGAACAGAGGUUA